CCUACGGGAGGCAGCAGUGGGGAAUAUUGCACAAUGGGGGAAACCCUGAUGCAGCGACGCCGCGUGAGUGAAGAAGUAAUUCGUUAUGUAAAGCUCUAUUAGCAGGGAAGAAAAUGACGGUACCUGAGUAAGAAGCCCCGGCUAACUACGUGCCAGCAGCCGCGGUAAUACGGAGGGGGCAAGCGUUAUCCGGAUUUACUGGGUGUAAGGGGCGCGUAGACGGCAGUGCAAGUCCGAAGUGAAAGGCGGGGGCUCAACCCCCGGACUGCUCUGGAAACUGUACGGCUGGAGAGCAGGUGAGGUAGGUGGAAUGCCUGGUGUAGCGGUGAAAUGCGUAGAGAUUAGAAAGAACACCAGUGGCGAAGGCAGCUUACUAAGCUAUAACUGACGUUGAGGCACGAAAGCGUGGGGAGCAAACAGGAUUAGAUACCCGAGUAGUC
rnacentral:rRNA from 1 species